rfam:Triticum aestivum genome assembly, contig: Triticum_aestivum_CS42_TGACv1_scaffold_406479_5BL
GUAGUAUUCCCUCCGUCCCAAAAUUCUUGUCUUACAUUUGUUUAGAUACGGAUGUAUCUAAAACUAAAUCCCUAUUUAGACAAAUUUAAGACAAGAAUUUUGGGACAGAGGGAGUACAAA